rnacentral:misc_RNA from 1 species
AAUUCUCAACCUAUGAGCCUUUGCGGGUUUGUAGGAUUGGACUUGGAGGUCUGUCGGCUUGCGUCGGCUCCUCUCAAAUGCAUUAGCUCGAUUCCUUGCGGAUCGGCUCUCGGUGUGAUAGUUUUUUGCGCCGCGACCGUGAAGUGUUUGGCGAGCUUCUAACGGUCUCUUAGGAGACGAUGAAACUGAA